GGGCCAGAUCACGUUGAAACACAGUUUCUCGUACGAUCAUCGAAGUUAAGCAACGCCAAGCCUGGUCAGUACUUAAAUGGAUGACCUCUUAAGAAUAGCAGGUGCUGUAAG